AAUGCACAGCUAGCCGUUGAUUAUCCAUUACUUAAAGUGGACAUAAACACACACAAAACUCAAGUACAUACGGAGGGAGGGGUUCUAGCAGGCCAAUCACAGCGCUUGCGUUCGCUGUUAGAAUUUUGGAGAUGUGCAUCCCAGGCUACGGACAAUGGCGGAUCAUGGAGCUGUUCAAUACUUCCCGGAAGUUAGCGCUCAUACUAUCAGCGCCAUAGAGAUGCAGCAGAAGAGACCGCUGUGAUGAAAUUUUAAAAGAACAAGAACCACCUGAAGACUCCCUGUAAUGAGAUAUCACCCUCACAAUGAGUCUAUUCAUUGGGUUUGGCAAGUGUUUCCCUGUUCUUUGUAAAAAAGUACCAGUUCCCAAGUAUGAUUACAUCACAUUUUGUUGGUGUAAUCUAUAGAUUGCUCCUGCUGACUAUAUCAAGCCUCUUAUGAAGACUUCAGAUGACCCAGCACCUGUGAAGAGAUGACGCCCUUGAGAGAACUUCAGAUAAAGCUGACUCUGACUCUGAAUAAACAUACACAACUGCUAAAUUGUCCUUUAAUUCUAAUCAACAUGAUCAAAUCAUGUAACCAUUGCUUUAAUUUGUUCAUUG